AUAAUGAUACUUCCGUUUAGCGAUAGACUCAAUCAUUCGGAGCGGCUCUGUGAGAACCACAGUUGAGGUGAAAAUCCUAUG
rnacentral:ncRNA from 1 species